GAACUGAAGAGUUUGAUCAUGGCUCAGAUUGAACGCUGGCGGCAGGCCUAACACAUGCAAGUCGAGCGGAUGAAGGGAGCUUGCUCCUGGAUUCAGCGGCGGACGGGUGAGUAAUGCCUAGGAAUCUGCCUGGUAGUGGGGGAUAACGUCCGGAAACGGGCGCUAAUACCGCAUACGUCCUGAGGGAGAAAGUGGGGGAUCUUC
rnacentral:rRNA from 2 species